GCCUGGGUGGCUCAGUCGGUUGAGCGUCCGACUUCGGCUCGGGUCAUGAUCUCAAGGUUCCUGGGUUCGAGCCCCAUGUCGGGCU
rnacentral:tRNA from 1 species